GACGAACCAUCCAAACGUUAUUCGGAAUUACUGGGCUUAAAGGGUGCGUAGGCUGCGCAGAAAGUUGGGUGUGAAAUCCCUCGGCUUAACCGAGGAACUGCGCCCAAAACUACUGUGCUCGAGGGAGACAGAGGUGAGCGGAACUUAGGGUGGAGCGGUGAAAUGCGUUGAUAUCCUAAGGAACACCCGUGGCGAAAGCGGCUCACUGGGUCUCUUCUGACGCUGAUGCACGAAAGCUAGGGGAGCGAACGGG
rnacentral:rRNA from 1 species